UAGGGAAUCUUCCACAAUGGACGAAAGUCUGAUGGAGCAACGCCGCGUGAGUGAAGAAGGGUUUCGGCUCGUAAAACUCUGUUGUUAAAGAAGAACAUAUCUGGGAGUAACUGUUCAGGUAUUGACGGUAUUUAACCAGAAAGCCACGGCUAACUACGUACCAG
rnacentral:rRNA from 1 species